AUUUAUAUAGUUUAAAAAAAACAUUAUAUUUUCAAUAUAAAAUUAAUUUAAUAAUUUAUAAAUU
rnacentral:tRNA from 1 species